rnacentral:rRNA from 1 species
AACGAACGCUGGCGGCAUGCCUAACACAUGCAAGUCGAACGAGACCUUCGGGUCUAGUGGCGCACGGGUGCGUAACGCGUAGGAACCUGCCCUUAGGUUCGGAAUAACUCCCCGAAAGGGGUGCUAAUACCGGAUAAUGUCUUCGGACCAAAGAUUUAUCGCCUUUGGAUGGGCCCGCGUUGGAUUAGCUAGUUGGUAGGGUAAAAGCCUACCAAGGCGACGAUCCAUAGCUGGUCUGAGAGGAUGAUCAGCCACACUGGGACUGAGACACGGCCCAGACUCCUACGGGAGGCAGCAGUGGGGAAUAUUGGACAAUGGGCGAAAGCCUGAUCCAGCAAUGCCGCGUGAGUGAUGAAGGCCUUAGGGUUGUAAAGCUCUUUUACCCGGGAUGAUAAUGACAGUACCGGGAGAAUAAGCGCCGGCUAACUCCGUG